rnacentral:rRNA from 1 species
AACCUCCGCAAUGUGAGAAAUCGCGACGGGGGGAUCCCAAGUGCCAUUCUUAACGGGAUGGCUUUUCAUUAGUGUAAAGAGCUUUUGGAAUAAGAGCUGGGCAAGACCGGUGCCAGCCGCCGCGGUAACACCGGCAGCUCUAGUGGUAACAAUUUUUAUUGGGCCUAAAGCGUCCGUAGCCGGUUUAAUAAGUCUCUGGUGAAAUCCUGCAGCUUAACUGUGGGAAUUGCUGGAGAUACUAUUAGACUUGAGACCGGGAGAGGUUAGAGGUACUCCCAGGGUAGAGGUGAAAUUCUGUAAUCCUGGGAGGACCGCCUGUUGCGAAGGCGUCUAACUGGAACGGUUCUGACGGUGAGGGACGAAAGUUAGGGGCGCGAACCGGAUUAGAUACCCGGGUAGUCCUAACUGUAAACGAUGCGGACUUGGUGUUGGGGUGGCUUUGAGCUGCUCCAGUGCCGAGGGAGCUGUAAGUCCGCCGCCUGGGAAGUACGGUCGCAAGACUGAAACUUAAAGGAAUU